rnacentral:rRNA from 1 species
AGACCCGAAACCCGGUGAUCUAGCCAUGGGCAGGUUGAAGGUUGGGUAACACUAACUGGAGGACCGAACCGACUAAUGUUGAAAAAUUAGCGGAUGACCUGUGGCUGGGGGUGAAAGGCCAAUCAAACCGGGAGAUAGCUGGUUCUCCCCGAAAGCUAUUUAGGUAGCGCCUCGUGAAUUCAUCUCCGGGGGUAGAGCACUGUUUCGGCUAGGGGGCCAUCCCGGCUUACCAACCCGAUGCAAACUGCGAAUACCGGAGAAUGUUAUCACGGGAGACACACGGCGGGUGCUAACGUCCGUCGUGAAGAGGGAAACAACCCAGACCGCCAGCUAAGGUCCCAAAGUCAUGGUUAAGUGGGAAACGAUGUGGGAAGGCCCAGACAGCCAGGAUGUUGGCUUAGAAGCAGCCAUCAUUUAAAGAAAGCGUAAUAGCUCACUGGUCGAGUCGGCCUGCGCGGAAGAUGUAACGGGGCUAAACCAUGCACCGAAGCUGCGGCAGCGAACGUAUCACCCAAGACAACUUUACGGAGUUGGCGAUUGACGGAGCGAAGCGACGUCAAAGCGUUCAUUAAAGUCGAGUUGGCUUAGGGAUACGUUCGUUGGGUAGGGGAGCGUUCUGUAAGCCUGUGAAGGUGUGUCGUGAGGCAUGCUGGAGGUAUCAGAAGUGCGAAUGCUGACAUAAGUAACGAUAAAGCGGGUGAAAAGCCCGCUCGCCGGAAGACCAAGGGUUCCUGUCCAACGUUAAUCGUGGCAGGGUGAGUCGACCCCUAAGGCGAGGCCGAAAGGCGUAGUCGAUGGGAAACGGGUUAAUAUUCCCGUACUUGGUGUUACUGCGAAGGGGGGACGGAGAAGGCUAUGUUGGCCGGGCGACGGUUGUCCCGGUUUAAGCGUGUAGGUGUGUGUUCCAGGUAAAUCCGGUUCACUUUAACACUGAGGCGUGACGACGAGGCACUACGGUGCUGAAGCAACAAAUGCCCUGCUUCCAGGAAAAGCCUCU